rnacentral:rRNA from 1 species
UACCAGCACCCCGAGUGGUCGGGACGUUUAUUGGGCCUAAAGCGUCCGUAGCCGGUUCUACAAGUCUUCCGUUAAAUCCACCUGCUCAACAGAUGGGCUGCGGAAGAUACUAUGGAGCUAGGAGGCGGGAGAGGCAAGCGGUACUCGAUGGGUAGGGGUAAAAUCCGUUGAUCCAUUGAAGACCACCAGUGGCGAAGGCGGCUUGCCAGAACGCGCUCGACGGUGAGGGAUGAAAGCUGGGGGAGCAAACCGG